GAGGACACAGCGUUUGUCUCUUCUGCCAUGUGAAGGCUGAGCAACAAGGUGCUAUCUUGAAAGCACAAACUGGGUCCUCAGGAUAUAGUAAAUAUUUUGAGGUCUUCCAGCCCCUAAAACUGCUGGAGUACAGUGGCAUGAUCUUGGCUCACUUCAACCUCCUCCUCCCAGGUUCAGUGACUCUUCUGCCUCAGCCUCCCAAGUAGCUGGGACUACAGGGCAAUGAGGGCUUCCAUUCUGGCUCUUCACCAUGAUAACCUUGGGGGCUUCCUGGAUUUAAAACCCAGGAAAGCAGGGGUUGAGAAGGGAGAGCCUUUGACCAUGGUCUCUAGCAGUUUUUCACUCUCCUAAAUGUCCACGUUCAGCCUCCAGCAAGUUGUCGAAAUCACCAGACAAGGUUUUGCUGUAUUGCCUACUACACUGGAGUGCAGUAGUGCCAUCAUAGCUUACUGCAACCUCGAACUUCCGGGCUCAAGAGACCCCCCUGCCUCAGCCUCCCAAGUAGCUGGGACUACAGGGACACACCACCAUCCCUGGCUAAUUUUCUUUUUGUGUAGAGUCGGGGUCUCUCUAUGCCGUCCAUGAUGGACUCAAACCCCUGAGCUCACAUGAUCCUCCUCCCUCGCUCAGCCUCCCCAAGUGCUGAGAUUUACAGGUGUGAGCCACUGCGCCUGGCUCCCCUUUAUCUUUCACAGGCAUUUCCCAAUAAAUUUAUUUCCUUUCUAAUUCCUGUUGAUAAAUGCUUCAUGGAGCACCCAAACUGGCAUAGUUUAUGAUUUCUGAUGUUCUAUUCUAUUUCGUUACUGUGAAAGGAGACCUGGUUUUCCAUCACAUUCUCCCCUAAGUGAGAACUCUGGGGAAGACACACUGACUGCUAGAUUUUGCUUAGGAUGUGCAAGCAACGUAUGUCUGUCAGGCUUUGUCUAAUCUGUGUUCUAGAAUAAGGGGAGCUUAUUCGAGAAUGUCAACUUUCAAGAUUGGACGUUUUUACUUUCUCUAAAGUACUUCAUUUUAGAGAAAUGAAGUAUUUUUUUUUUCUUAAAAUAAAAUUAUCUGGUGUUUUCCCUAAGGGCAAAUGCCAGGAGCAUAUGCUCUAUAUGUUUUGCCUCGGGUGGGGUUGGGGUUAAAUCCAGGGAGCAUACACCCCGGGUUGAGGGCCAGGCGUAUGCUCUCUGGAAGGUUAUGUUUUAUUUGAAGCCAUUGUUAGAAAUACAGCAUUCUCAUGAAUUGUCUCCUUUUAACCUCUCUUCUCAUUCUUGUCCUCCUUUUCACCUAAGCCCUAAGUGAGCCUGAUGCUCUGUGGUUACAAUCCCACCCUUGGACAAUGCCCGCCAUCAAGUAUUCCUUGUUGUCACUUGUCAUCCUCAUCCUACACUCUUUCUAUCACAGAAAUGUCCUGGGACCUUUCACGCAUUUAUGACCUCCCCACGCUCCAUGCCAUUCUUCUCCUUGACAUUGUAUGUUUGUUUCAAUGUUUACUUCAGAGAGGUCUUGGGGGCUAUGGACUUCAAUUCCAUUAGCCACAUCACAAUUUUCAACAAGAAUCUCCUGACUGAAAUGUACUGAAAUGGAAGAGAAAGUCCUCUCACCAGAAUUGAGGAAUGUCAAGGCUGGAAGGUAUCUUAGAGAUCAUCUAAUCCAGUUCUUGCUUCAGAAACGAUUCAGGGAAGCAAGUGAAGUGACUUGGACUUUACCUAUGGUAAUACUCUCUCCCCACCCUCAACACUGCCCAGCUGGCAUUUCUGUAGCCCCAACACCUCCCCCACACUGUGCCUUGGUGAGUGUUCACCAAGGAACGCUGCAUUUUGAUAAGCCUCAGUAAUCAAGAGCAGCCUCUGCCCAUAAAUACACCUGCCCUGCUCCUGCCUGGGGUGAUUCCCUCCGACUUGCGUCUGCUUCUCGCCA
rnacentral:lncRNA from 1 species